rnacentral:rRNA from 1 species
CCUACGGGUGGCAGCAGUGGGGAAUAUUGCACAAUGGGGAAACCCUGAUGCAGCGACGCCGCGUGAGUGAAGAAGGAUUUCGGGAUGUAAAGCCCUGUCAGCCGGGAAGAAAAUGACGGUACCUGACCAAGAAGCCCCGGCUAAAUACGGGCCAGCAGCCGAGGGAAUACGUAUGGGGCAAGCGGUAUCCGGAUUUACUGGGGGUAAAGGGAGCGUAGACGGCAGGGCAAGUCUGGAGUGAAAGGCGGGGGCUCAACCCCCGGACUGCUCUGGAAACUGCCAGGCUGGAGUGCAGGAGAGGUAAGUGGAAUUCCUAGUGUAGCGGUGAAAUGCGUAGAUAUUAGGAGGAACACCAGUGGCGAAGGCGGCUUACUGGACUGUAACUGACGUUGAGGCUCGAAAGCGUGGGGAGCAAACAGGAUUAGAUACCCCUGUAGUC